AACCUCAUUGGCCAGAAGGGAUUCCUUCCGGUUGAUGAGGUUGUUAUAACUCAUCAACUGACCAGAAGGAUUUCCUUCUGGUAAAUGAGGUAUAACAACCUCACCGACCAGAAGGGAUUCCUUCUGGUCGAUGAGGUA
rnacentral:miRNA from 1 species